GCGCCCGCCUCUCCGCCAGCACAGCCUCUGAGCUCAGCCCCAAAUCCAAGGCCCGGCCAUCCUCUCCCUCCACAUACUGGCACAGGCCUGCCUCCCCCUGCCUCAGCCCAGGGCCAGGCCACACUCUGCCUCCAAAGCCACCGUCCCCCCGAGGCACCACUGCAUCCCCCAAGGGGCGGGUUCGGAGGAAGGAGGAGGCAAAGGAGAGCCCCAGCGCCGCAGGGCCUGAGGACAAGAGCCAGAGCAAGCGCAGGGCCAGUGACGAGAAGGAGUCAGCAGCCCCAGCCUCACCGGCACCUUCGCCGGCGCCCUCGCCCACCCCAGCCCCGCCCCAGAAGGAGCAGCCCCCCGCGGAGACCCCCACAGCAAACCAAUGGCCGGCACCACAGACCGAGAAGAAGCCACUCGGCUCUUGGCUGAGAAGCGGCGCCAGGCCCGGGAGCAGCGGGAGCGCGAGGAACAGGAGCGGAGGCUGCAGGCAGAAAGGGACAAGCGAAUGCGAGAGGAGCAGCUGGCACGGGAGGCCGAGGCCCGGGCGGAGCGGGAGGCGGAGGCCCGGAGGCGGGAGGAGCAGGAGGCACGAGAGAAGGCGCAGGCCGAGCAGGAGGAGCAGGAGCGGCUGCAGAAGCAGAAAGAGGAGGCCGAAGCUCGGUCACGGGAAGAGGCGGAGCGGCAGCGUCUGGAGCGGGAAAAGCACUUCCAGCAGCAGGAGCAGGAGCGGCAAGAGCGCAGA
rnacentral:sRNA from 1 species